rnacentral:rRNA from 1 species
UGCCAGCAGCCGCGGUAAGACAGAGGAGGCAAGCGUUGUUCGGAAUCAUUGGGCUUAAAGCGGGUGUAGGCGGCUUGGAAAGUGUUGUGUGAAAUCCCACGGCUUAACCGUGGAAUUGCAUGGCAAACUUCCUGGCUUGAGGUCGGUAGAGGUACCUGGAACUCUAGGUGGAGCGGUGAAAUGCGUAGAUAUCUAGAGGAAUGCCGGAGGCGAAAGCGGGGUACUGGGCCGAUUCUGACGCUGAGACCCGAAAGCGUGGGGAGCAAACAGGAUUCGAUA